rnacentral:rRNA from 1 species
CUUUAAAAGUACGGAAAAUGAGGCAUGUAACGAAAUUAGGGGAGAUUUUGAACGUUAAUAACUCAGUUGUUUAUGAACCAAUUAUUACGAUUUUAGUAUCAUUCGAUCAGAAAUGUAUCUAUGCAUCGUAAGUAAUAUAUCCGAUAAGUGAAUUUUGUUGUUUAACUAUUGAAAAUUUGAUAAAUGUUGACCCCUUUCUUAUCCAACCAAUCACGUUCGAGCAUUUUUCGACGGUAUCGCUUCCCACUAUAAAAGCAAACGGGUCCCUGCUUCUUCCUUCAGUCUUCUUUUUGCGGUCGGACUGUGAACACGAUCGGGCGAGUCAUUCUCGCUUUGCGUUUGCACCCGCGUCAAAGUCCAAUUUGUGUCGUCGGAAGAGGAAGACGCAAAAUUGAUUUGCGGCGGCGAUGCUAUUGAUGGUAGUAUAGAGGACUACCAUGGUUGCAACGGGUAACGGGGAAUCAGGGUUCGAUUCCGGAGAGGGAGCCUGAGAAAUGGCUACCACAUCCAAGGAAGGCAGCAGGCGCGUAAAUUACCCAAUCCCGGCACGGGGAGGUAGUGACGAGAAAUAACAAUAUAAGACUCUUUUAUGACGUCUUAUAAUUGGAAUGAGUUGAGCAUAAAUCCUUCAACAAGGAUCAAGUGGAGGGCAAGUCUGGUGCCAGCAGCCGCGGUAAUUCCAGCUCCACUAGCGUAUAUUA